rnacentral:rRNA from 1 species
UAUGCUUGUCUCAAAGAUUAAGCCAUGCAUGUCUAAGUCCAAGCUGUGUUCACACGGCGAGACCGCGGACGGCUCAUUAAAUCAGUCGUGGUCCAAAUGGGCCAGUGCAAAUCCUACUUGGAUAACUGUGGUAAUUCCAGAGCUAAUACAUGCAACUGAUAUCCCGAAGGCGGUGUUGGGGCUUGCUUGCCUUGCGCUGCGCUGCUCUGACGGAUGCUUUUAUUAGACCAAGCCGCUGAGGACUUGAGGGUUCGCGCUCUCUUGUUUGACUCGUGUGAUGGUGACUCUGGAUAACCAAAUUCUGACAAGCGCACGUACUUCUCUUCUGAGCGAGACGGCGCUGCCACUUUCGAGUGUCUGCCUUAUCAGCUAUCAACCGUUCGUUAUGCGCGACCGAUGGCUUUGACGGGUAACGGGGAAUCAGGGUUCGAUUCCGGAGAGGCAGCCUGAGAGACGGCUACCACGUCCAAGGACGGCAGCAGGCACGCAAAUUACCCAAUCCCAGCAAAUGGGGGAGGUAGUGACGAAAUCUAACGAUGCGGGCGCCCUUUCUGGGGCCCCGCAAUCGGAAUGGGCACUUUCUAAACAACCUGUUGAGAACCUACUGAAG